AUACAGAGGGUGCGAGCGUUAAUCGGAAUUACUGGGCGUAAAGCGCGCGUAGGUGGUUAUGUAAGUUGGAUGUGAAAGCCCCGGGCUUAACCUGGGAAUUGCAUUCAAAACUGCAUGGCUAGAGUCUGAUAGAGGGAAGUGGAAUUUCCGGUGUAGCGGUGAAAUGCGUAGAUAUCGGAAGGAACACCAGUGGCGAAGGCGGCUUCCUGGAUCAAGACUGACGCUGAGGUGCGAAAGCGUGGGGAGCAAACAGAAUUAGAAACCCCAGUAGUCC
rnacentral:rRNA from 1 species